rnacentral:rRNA from 1 species
UGACUUUGAUUAUGGCUCAGGAUGAACGCUAGCGACAGGCUUAACACAUGCAAGUCGAGGGGCAGCACAGGUAGCAAUACCGGGUGGCGACCGGCGCACGGGUGAGUAACGCGUAUGCAACUUGCCUAUCAGAGGGGGAUAACCCGGCGAAAGUCGGACUAAUACCGCGUGAAGCAGGGGCCCCGCAUGGGGAUAUUUGCUAAAGAUUCAUCGCUGAUAGAUAGGCAUGCGUUCCAUUAGGCAGUUGGCGGGGUAACGGCCCACCAAACCGACGAUGGAUAGGGGUUCUGAGAGGAAGGUCCCCCACAUUGGUACUGAGACACGGACCAAGCUCCUACGGGAGGCAGCAGUGAGGAAUAUUGGUCAAUGGGCGCGAGCCUGAACCAGCCAAGUCGCGUGAGGGAUGAAGGUUCUAUGGAUCGUAAACCUCUUUUAUAAGGGAAUAAAGUGCGGGACGUGUCCCGUUUUGUAUGUACCUUAUGAAUAAGGAUCGGCUAACUCCGUGCCAGCAGCCGCGGUAAUACGGAGGAUCCGAGCGUUAUCCGGAUUUAUUGGGUUUAAAGGGUGCGUAGGCGGCCUUUUAAGUCAGCGGUGAAAGUCCGUGGCUCAACCAUAGAAUUGCCGUUGAAACUGGGGGGCUUGAGUAUGUUUGAGGCAGGCGGAAUGCGUGGUGUAGCGGUGAAAUGCAUAGAUAUCACGCAGAACCCCGAUUGCGAAGGCAGCCUGCCAAGCCAUUACUGACGCUGAUGCACGAAAGCGUGGGGAUCAAACAGGAUUAGAUACCCUGGUAGUCCACGCAGUAAACGAUGAUCACUAGCUGUUUGCGAUACACUGUAAGCGGCACAGCGAAAGCGUUAAGUGAUCCACCUGGGGAGUACGCCGGCAACGGUGCAACUCAAAUGAAUUGACGGA